rnacentral:lncRNA from 1 species
UAAUAAGCAUAGUUAUUUAUCCAAAAAUACAUUUCUAUCUGCCAUGGCAGUCUACAAGAGCCCCUCGUCUUUUCCCAGCCGUUGUUCUAAUAUUUGUACAAAAAAUUGCAGAUAAUGGAGUUAUUAGUCCAUCUCUUGUUGCAUGUAGAGCUACUCCUCAGAAGUGGACCAUUCUAGAAGCAACUUAUGAACUCUCUAAACACCACCAAAUUAUUCUGAAUGAAAGAAGUUUUAAGGUUAUUUAUGUUCUAUACUAUAUAUUUAUAUAUAUAUUUUUUAUAUUAUGUGCCGGUGUAUAUUUUUACACUUUUAUAUUAUGUGUCGAUUUAUAUUUUUACACUUUUCCAUAUUCUUAAAAUCUUGUAAAAGCCAAACAAAGAGGGGGAAAAAGCUCAACCUGCGGGAAUGUAAAAACCAUGUUCUCUCAAGAGUCUGAAGAAAAGUGAAAGAUCAUGAAGAGAGUAUCCAUCAAAAGAAGUGGCUUCCAUAUAAUGUCGCCAGAGAACUGAUUCAAUCUCUUCCUGAAAAUGGUAGUCAACACCUAGUCGCUGGAUAGCAUCCACCAACAUUGAGCUUUCUAUUUGAUUUUCUAAUUCCUCUGAUUUCAAUAAUUCCCUGACAUCCUUCAGUUUUUGUUCAUAUUCCGUGGAAAAUUCAUCCUGCAAGUAAGACUGGUUUUUGCUUUACACUUUUUCAUAACUAUUUUUAUGCGGAAAUUUCCAUAACUAUAUAUUUAUAUACUUUUUUAUAUUUUUUAUACUUGAUGAUAGUGACUUGUCGGCGGGACUAUUUCUCCCGGAAAUUGUUGAUGAGAAGAUGAGACCAACUUGUGAAUACCGUAGGGUUAUACAUUAAACUAAAAAUUACUUCCUAAUAGUCACUCCAGAUGAAGUGAAGAAAUUCUUCCAAUAUGAUCCAUACACAGAAGAUGAUAAUGACAUACUUGUGGGAGAUUUCUUUACUGUACAAAAUUAUAAAAGGAUUGAAACCCAAAUAAUUUCAAAUGAGACAAAUAACUUGUUCUCAGGAAAUUAUUCGUCAUUCAACCUGAAGAACUAACAAAUGAAGACGAAAACCAUAUAGAAAUCAAGGAAUAAAUUAUAAGGGGGUAAAUUCAAAGAAGACGAAAUUAACAUGCAAGUCGAUAAGCAGAUCGAAGUCUAGUUAAGUUUGAAUUGAGUGAUUUAGGCUAUUCAUAUCAUAUUCAAAAGGACAAAGUAAGGUUUUGGAAUAUAUACCAAUUAUGGUGUUAAGAUAUUAUUUUUAUUGUAUCUUUUCAGGUAUGAUGAAAAUAUCGUACAAGAAUACGAAAAGAAAGGAGAGUAAAAGUCAAGGGCUAAAGGAGAGACCUUAUAAACACGGUGAGUAUUGCAGCCCUUUCUUUAAACCUAUUUUGUGCACACAUUAAGUACAAAGUGUAUAAAAAUAUUGCCUUAUUUUAUUUUGAUAAUCUGAGUUGGUUAGGCUUGCUGGCCUAACGAUUAUGGUUAUUUGAAAUUUCUUAUGAAGCAUAAAUUGAGACUAGGUAAUGUAUUUAUUUAUUUUGCUAAUUUGAUACUUAUACAUUUUUUAUCGUAUUCAAUAGAGUAUAUAAUCAUGAUAAUGAAUAUGAAUUUUUGGAUUGUUUACGGUAAUACAAUAUGUUGAAUGAACUUUACGUCUGUUUCAAUCCUACCUACUACUGGAAUAUAAAUAUAAAAAAACAACCACUUGACCAACUGGAAUGACUAGUUUGGGGAUGGUUGAUCUGUAUUGAAAAUCCUACCUACUACAAAAGAGAGGAUGGAGUUUUACUGUUCAUUUUUGGGCCAUUUUCACACUAGGAUUGGUUUCAAACUGGUUCAUUCUGUUGUUUUAAUAACGCAUGGGUCGACUUUGACCAAUAAAUAAUGAAAUUGAGAAAACGCAGCUAAAAAUGGACAUAAGUAUUUACGUGAUUCACCCAAAUUUUGGCUACGUUCACGGGCAAGUAUAGGAGGAUUUUACUAUAGUAGGAGAAUUACAACAACUCUCUAAAUACAAGGGGAUACCAACAAUUAAUAUCUCUUUUAAUAGAAAAAACAAGUAGGAAAUACUAUAGGAAGAAACAAUAAUUUUUCUCUCUAUUUUUAUCUCUCUACUCACAAUUUUCUCUCCACUCAAUAUUUUCUUUUCUCUCAAUUUUUUUCUCUCCAACACGGCUUAUUUCACUUGGCGUGUUAAUUCUCUAUUUAUAGAGAAAUUUGGCUUCAAACCGUCUCACUUUGUUUGGCUCAAAACUUGCCAUCAAGGUGCAUAUGAAAGAGGAGAGUAGGAUGCAUGUGAGAGCCUGGUUGGAGAAUUAAUAGCCUUGCAUGUGGGAGACUUGUUCAUAAAGAAAGUGGCUGGACCAAAGCUCAAAAAUUCCACUGCCUAUGUAUUAAAUGCUUGCAUGAAUUUUGUCAUUUUGUAGUUAAAAUUUGUGGCUUUAAUUUUCAACAUUUCUCCCACUUAAAGUCACUUUUGUUGACCACUUCAAUCCUACCCAUACUUGCCAUUUCCAUGCCACUUACGUUUCUGCCAAGCCGAUAGAGGAUCGACACCAAAUGAACUUGUCAGUACCGAUUGGCUUUGUCAACAUAUCUGCUAGGUUGUCCAUUGUAUGGAUUUUCUAUAUAUCCACACUUCCUUUUUCUACCUUCUCUCGAACAAAGUGAUACUAGACUCGAAUAUGCUUUGUCCUCUGAUGAAAUACUGGAUUCUUUACCAAAUGCAAAGCACUCUGACUAUCACAAAAUAGAGUAAUCUUCUCUUGUUUGUGUCCGAGCUCCUCCAUUAACAUUUGUAACAAGAUUGUCUCUUUCCUGGCUUGUGUAGCUGCCACGUAUUCUGCUCCGUCGUAGAAGUAGCCACGAUAGGCUGUAGUUUCGAAACCCAGCCUACAGCUCCUCCAGCAAGAGUAAACACAUAUCCAGUGGUGGACUUACUUUUGUCAAGAUCACCUGCAUAAUCUGAAUCAACAUAGCCUCUGACAAUAAAAUCUGAUCCGCCAUAACAUAAUGUAACAUUUGAGGUACCCUUGACAUAUCUCAGGAUCCUCUUUACAGUACUCCAAUGCUCUUUAUCAAGAUUUGCCAUGUAUCGACUAACCACUCCUACUGCUUGUGCAAUGUCUGGUCUUGUACAGAUCAUAACAAACAUCAGGCUACCCACUACUGAUGCAUACGGUACUCGAGACAUCUCCACUUUCUCUGCUUCUUUGCUAGGACUCAUACUUGAGGAUAACUUAAAAUUAAUAGGAAGAGGGGUAGAAAUUGGCUUACAAUCUUUCAUAUUGAAGCGAUGCAAGAUUUUCUUCAAGUAGUUCUUCUAAUUAAGCCAAAUCUUUCUAUUAUUUCUGUCUCGAUAAAUUUGCAUCCCUAGAAUCUUGUUUGUUGGUCCCAAGUCCUUCAUUUCAAACUCCCUAGCUAACUGUGCCAUCAAAUUAUCAAUACGAUCUUUGUUCGAGCCUAUUACCAACAUGUCAUCAACAUACAACAGCAGAAUAAUGAAAUCAUUAUCACCAAAUCUCAUCUAGUAUGCACAUGGAUCUUAACUAAGUUUGUUGUAUCCAAGGCUCAUGAUGAAGGAAUCAAAUCUCUUAUACCAACAUCUCGGCACCUGUUUGAGACCGUAUAGAGAUUUGUUCAACCUGCAAACCAAGUUCUCUUUUCCUUUUUCUUCAAAACCUUCUGGUUGGAGCAUAUAAAUCUCUUCUUCAAGUUCUCCAUGAAGAAAUGCAAUUUUUACAUCUAAUUGCUCGAAGUGUAAGUCAAAUGUAGUACACAUUCCCAAGACUACUCGAAUUGUUGUGGUCGAACCACAGGAAAAAAUAUUUCGUUGAAGUCUAUGCCUUCUUUCUGAGCAUACCCUUUCACCACCAGUCUCGCACGAUACCGCUCCACUUGGUCAUUGCUAUCUCGUUUUAUCUUAUAGACCCAUUUAUUCCCAAUGGCCUUCCUUCCAUGUGGUAGUGGAACAAGAUUCCAUGUCUUGUUCUUAUGAAGAGUUUCAAUUUCUUCUUGCAUUACAGCCAUCCACUGAGAAACUUCUUGGCUAUUUAUAGCCUCAUGAAAAGUUGAUGGCUCUCCAUCUUCUGUCAAUAAGUAGUAUGCAACAUUACCCUCCAUAAUGUAAUAUGAGUGCCAAGCCAGUUCUCUUCUCUUCCGUGUUGAUCGUUGAACAUUUGGAGCACCAGAUUCAGCUUGUUCUUCAUGUUCUAGUGUUGCUUCAGAAGAAUCUAUAUCUACUCGUUCGUCUCCAACUUCGACUGUAGUAGUCUCUGGUUUUUCUUUUGAAGUGCUAUCAUUUCCUUUUUCCUGUGUUUUGGCUUCUGCAAAUAUGACAUCUCUACUGAUUAUCACCUUAUGGGUAGUGGGAUCCCCCAGGCGGUACCCCUUAACUCCAUUAGGAUACCCUAAGAAAAUACAUUUUCUAGAUUUUGGAUCCAGCUUUGAUGUUUCUUGGGUGUUUUACAUAACGUACACAGGACUUCCAAAUAUACGUAAGUGAGAAUAAUUAGCCGGUUUAUUAGUCCACAUUUCCAUCGGUGUCUUCAAGUCAAUUGCGGUUGAUGGCGACUGAUUGAUCACAUAACAGGUAGUUUUGACUGCUUCUGCCCAGAAUGACUUGGCUAACUUUGAAGUUCUCAACAUUGCUCUUGUUCUUUCUAACAAUGUUCUGUUCAUCCGCUCUGCCACUCCAUUUCGCUGUAGAGUGUAUGCCACUAUGAACUGUCUCUUGAUACCUUCUUGUUGACAGAAGUUAUCAAAUUAAUCACCAGUAUAUUCUUUUCCAUUGUCAGUCCUCAGACACUUGAUCUUCUUUUCAAAUUCAAGCUCCACAUGUGCUUUGAAUACUUUGAAGACUACAAACACGUCUGCCUUUCUCUUAAUUGGAUACACCCAACGUCUCCUGGAGUAAUCAUCAAUAAAAGAUACAAAGUAUCUUGCACCUCCUAGGGACAUAACCGGUGCUUGCCAAACUCGAAAUGGACCAGUUCCAAGAUAGCUUUACUUCUAGGAGUAGAACCAUUGAACUUCAAUCUGUGCUAUUUACUAGUAAUACAAUGCUCACAAAAGGGUAAUGAAACCUUUUUGAGACCUGGAAGAAGCUUUUGUUCUGAGAGAAUUUUCAAACCACGUUCCGACAUGUGACCAAGCUUGCGAUGCCACAUCAUCGUUAAUUCUUCUGCUGAACCUGUCGAUGCGACAGAUGCUUCUCCUUCUUAUAGUGUUUUCCUUUAAGCAUGUACAAAUUUGCAGCUAUCUUUUCUGCUUUUAUCACCACAAGCGCGCCUCUAAUUAUUUUCAUAAUCCCAUCUUGUAUAUGGGUUUUGCAACCAAUGCUAUCUAAUUGUCCUAAAGACAAUAGAUUUUUCUUCAAGCCUUUUACGCGCCGUACCUCCUGAAUAGUGCAAAUUGUAUCAUCAUACAUUUUCAAUUUGAUGGUACCAAUACCAGCGAUCUCCAAGGCACAAUCAUUUUCCAUAAACACAGAUCCUCCUGGAAUAAUCUCAUAUUGAUGGAACCAUUCCCUCAUUGGUGUCAUGUGCCAUGUAGCUCCUGAAUACAUAAGCCAGACAUUAGAAAAUUUAUUUCUGCCUUCAACAAUUGUUGUUGCCUCGCUGUACAAAAUUUCACCAUCAUCUGAGGUGCUUGCUACACAACCCUGAGCUUUUGACAUCUCAGGACCUUUUUCUUUGGCUUCUUCAUUCUUCUUAAAGCUCCAACAAUCCCUUUUUAAAUGCCCUUUCUUGCCACAGUAAUGACACUUGACAUUUUUAUUACUCUUGAAUUUUGAUCUACUCUGAUUAUGACUCCCACUGGAGCCACGUUCCGUUGAUCUCUCUCUCAUCAUCAUUAAAGCUUCCACCUGAUGCAAACUUGUCGAUCUAUCCUCCUCAUUUUUUUUGCCGACUUUCUUCUUCAAGAACAGCAGCUACAAUAAGACUAGAGUUUCAAGGUUGUUGGUUAAGUUGAUGAUGAGUAGAUCAUACGAAUCUGGCAGACUUUGAAGUAAGAUUUCAGCACGUUCACCCGCCUCUAUAUUAUACUCCAUUGAUGUGAGCUGUGAAAAUAAAGUGUUGAGGGUGUUGAUGUGGUCGGUCACCGUAGUUGACUCCAUCAUCCGAAGGGUGUAAAGCUUCCUCUUCAAGAAGAUUUUGUUGUGUAACGAUUUGGCCUCGUACUGUUUUGUCAGCAUAUCCCAUAUAUUCUUUCGCCGUCUUUUUCUCUACCAUACUUGACAAUACUCCAUCGGCUAGUGCAAGGUGCAGAUUAGCAACUGCAUUGCUAUCCAUCUCGUUCCACUUAGUAUCAUCAAUGAUCUUCACAGGCCUUUGUCCAAUUGCCGCCAAGCAGUUAUCUUUCCGCAAAACUGCUUUUAUUCUCAUUUUCCAUAAUGAGAAAUUAUUCCCAUUGAACUUUUCAAUCUCAUACUUUGUCGCCAUUUUGUUCACCAAUAAUAUAACUAAACAACGACCCUACACAGAACCUUGCUCUGAUACCACUGUUGUUUUAAUAACGCGUGGGUCGACUUUGACUAACAAAUAAUGAAAUUGAGAAAACGCGGCUAAAAAUGGAUACAAGUAUUUACGUGAUUCACCCAAAUUUUGGCUACGUCCACAGGCAAAUAUAUGAGGAUUUUACUAUAGUAGGAGAAUUAUAAAAACUCUCUAAAUACAAGGAGAUACCAACAAUUAAUCUCUCUUGUAAUAGAAAAAACAAGUAGGAAAUACUAUAGGAAGAAACAAUAAUUUUUCUCUCUAUUUUUAUCUCUCUACUCACAAUUUUCACUCUACUCAAUCUUUUCUUUUCUCUCAAUUUUUUUCUCUCCAACACGGCUUAUUUCACUUGGCAUGUUAGUUCUCUAUUCAUAGAGAAAUUUGGCUUCAAACNGUAGAAGUAGCCACGAUAGACUGUAGUUUCGAAACCCAGCUUACAGCUCCUCCAGCAAGAGUAAACACAUAUCCAGUGAUGGACUUACUUUUGUCAAGAUCACCUGCAUAAUCUGAAUCAACAUAGCCUCUGACAAUAAAAUCUGAUCCGCCAUAACAUAAUGUAACAUUUGAGGUACCCUUGACAUAUCUCAGGAUCCUCUUUACAGUACUCCAAUGCUCUUUAUCAAGAUUUGCCAUGUAUCGACUAACCACUCCUACUGCUUGUACAAUGUCUGGUCUUGUACAGAUCAUAACAAACAUCAGGCUACCCACUACUGAUGCAUACGGUACUCUAGACAUCUCCACUUUCUCUGCUUCUUUGCUAGGACUCAUACUUGAGGAUAACUUAAAAUUAAUAGGAAGAGGGGUAGAAAUUGGCUUACAAUCUUUCAUAUUGAAGCGAUGCAAGAUUUUCUUCAAGUAGUUCUUCUAAUUAAGCCAAAUCUUUCUAUUAUUUCUGUCUCGAUAAAUUUGCAUCCAUAGAAUCUUGUUUGUUGGUCCCAAGUCCUUCAUUUCAAACUCCCUAGCUAACUGUGCCAUCAAAUUAUCAAUACGAUCUUUGUUCGAGCCUAUUACCAACAUGUCAUCAACAUACAACAGCAGAAUAAUGAAAUCAUUAUCACCAAAUCUCAUCUAGUAUGCACAUGGAUCUUAACUAAGUUUGUUGUAUCCAAGGCUCAUGAUGAAGGAAUCAAAUCUCUUAUACCAACAUCUCGGCACCUGUUUAAGACCGUAUAGAGAUUUGUUCAACCUGCAAACCAAGUUCUCUUUUCCUUUUUCUUCAAAACCUUCUGGUUGGAGCAUAUAAAUCUCUUCUUCAAGUUCUCCAUGAAGAAAUGCAAUUUUUACAUCUAAUAGCUCGAAGUGUAAGUCAAAUGUAGUACACAUUCCCAAGACUACUCGAAUUGUUGUGGUCGAACCACAGGAAAAAAUAUUUCGUUGAAGUCUAUGCCUUCUUUCUGAGCAUACCCUUUCACCACCAGUCUCGCACGAUACCGCUCCACUUGGUCAUUGCUAUCUCGUUUUAUCUUAUAGACCCAUUUAUUCCCAAUGGCCUUCCUUCCAUGUGGUAGUGGAACAAGAUUCCAUGUCUUGUUCUUAUGAAGAGUUUCAAUUUCUUCUUGCAUUACAGCCAUCCACUGAGAAACUUCUUGGCUAUUUAUAGCCUCAUGAAAAGUUGAUGGCUCUCCAUCUUCUGUCAAUAAGUAGUAUGCAACAUUACCCUCCAUAAUGUAAUAUGAGUGCCAAGCCAGUUCUCUUCUCUUCCGUGUUGAUCGUUGAACAUUUGGAGCACCAGAUUCAGCUUGUUCUUCAUGUUCUAGUGUUGCUUCAGAAGAAUCUAUAUCUACUCGUUCGUCUCCAACUUCGACUGUAGUAGUCUCUGGUUUUUCUUUUGAAGUGCUAUCAUUUCCUUUUUCCUGUGUUUUGGCUUCUGCAAAUAUGACAUCUCUACUGAUUAUCACCUUAUGGGUAGUGGGAUCCCCCAGGCGGUACCCCUUAACUCCAUUAGGAUACCCUAAGAAAAUACAUUUUCUAGAUUUUGGAUCCAGCUUUGAUGUUUCUUGGGUGUUUUACAUAACGUACACAGGACUUCCAAAUAUAUGUAAGUGAGAAUAAUUAGCCGGUUUAUUAGUCCACAUUUCCAUCGGUGUCUUCAAGUCAAUUGCGGUUGAUGGCGACUGAUUGAUCACAUAACAGGUGGUUUUGACUGCUUCUGCCCAGAAUGACUUGGCUAACUUUGAAGUUCUCAACAUUGCUCUUGUUCUUUCUAACAAUGUUCUGUUCAUCCGCUCUGCCACUCCAUUUCGCUGUAGAGUGUAUGCCACUAUGAACUGUCUCUUGAUACCUUCUUGUUGACAGAAGUUAUCAAAUUAAUCACCAGUAUAUUCUUUUCCAUUGUCAGUCCUCAGACACUUGAUCUUCUUUUCAAAUUCAAGCUCCACAUGUGCUUUGAAUACUUUGAAGACUACAAACACGUCUGCCUUUCUCUUAAUUGGAUACACCCAACGUCUCCUGGAGUAAUCAUCAAUAAAAGAUACAAAGUAUCUUGCACCUCCUAGGGACAUAACCGGUGCUUGCCAAACUCGAAAUGGACCAGUUCCAAGAUAGCUUUACUUCUAGGAGUAGAACCAUUGAACUUCAAUCUGUGCUAUUUACUAGUAAUACAAUGCUCACAAAAGGGUAAUGAAACCUUUUUGAGACCUGGAAGAAGCUUUUGUUCUGAGAGAAUUUUCAAACCACGUUCCGACAUGUGACCAAGCUUGCGAUGCCACAUCAUCGUUAAUUCUUCUGCUGAACCUGUCGAUGCGACAUAUGCUUCUCCUUCUUAUAGUGUUUCUCCUUUAAGCAUGUACAAAUUUGCAGCUAUCUUUUUUGCUUUUAUCACCACAAGCGCGCCUCUGAUUAUUUUCAUAAUCCCAUCUUGUAUAUGGGUUUUGCAACCAAUGCUAUCUAAUUGUCCUAAAGACAAUAGAUUUUUCUUCAAGCCUUUUACGUGCCGUACCUCCUGAAUAGUGCAAAUUGUAUCAUCAUACAUUUUCAAUUUGAUGGUACCAAUACCAGCGAUCUCCAAGGCACAAUCAUUUUCCAUAAACACAGAUCCUCCUGGAAUAAUCUCAUAUUGAUGGAACCAUUCCCUCAUUGGUGUCAUGUGCCAUGUAGCUCCUGAAUCCAUAAGCCAGACAUUAGAAAAUUUAUUUCUGCCUUCAACAAUUGUUGUUGCCUCGCUGUACAAAAUUUCACCAUCAUCUGAGGUGCUUGCUACACAACCCUGAGCUUUUGACAUCUCAGGACCUUUUUCUUUGGCUUCUUCAUUCUUCUUAAAGCUCCAACAAUCCCUUUUUAAAUGCCCUUUCUUGCCACAGUAAUGACACUUGACAUUUUUAUUACUCUUGAAUUUUGAUCUACUCUGAUUAUGACUCCCACUGGAGCCACGUUCCGUUGAUCUCCCUCUCAUCAUCAUUAAAGCUUCCACCUGAUGCAAACUUGUCGAUCUAUCCUCCUCAUUUUUUUUGCCGACUUUCUUCUUCAAGAACAGCAGCUACAAUAAGACUAGAGUUUCAAGGUUGUUGGUUAAGUUGAUGAUGAGUAGAUCAUACGAAUCUGGCAGACUUUGAAGUAAGAUUUCAGCACGUUCACCCGCCUCUAUAUUAUGCUCCAUUGAUGUGAGCUGUGAAAAAAAAGUGUUGAGGGUGUUGAUGUGGUCGGUUACCGUAGUUGACUCCAUCAUCCGAAGGGUGUAAAGCUUCCUCUUCAAGAAGAUUUUGUUGUGUAACGAUUUGGCCUCGUACUGUUUUGUCAGCAUAUCCCAUAUUUCUUUCGCCGUCUUUUUCUCUACCACACUUGACAAUACUCCAUCGGCUAGUGCAAGGUGCAGAUUAGCAACUGCAUUGCUAUCCAUCUCGUUCCACUUAGUAUCAUCAAUGAUCUUCACAGGCCUUUGUCCAAUUGCCGCCAAGCAGUUAUCUUUCCGCAAAACUGCUUUUAUUCUCAUUUUCCAUAAUGAGAAAUUAUUCCCAUUGAACUUUUCAAUCUCAUACUUUGUCGCCAUUUUGUUCACCAAUAAUAUAACUAAACAACGACCCUACACAGAACCUUGCUCUGAUACCACUGUUGUUUUAAUAACGCGUGGGUCGACUUUGACUAACAAAUAAUGAAAUUGAGAAAACGCGGCUAAAAAUGGAUACAAGUAUUUACGUGAUUCACCCAAAUUUUGGCUACGUCCACGGGCAAAUAUAUGAGGAUUUUACUAUAGUAGGAGAAUUAUAAAAACUCUCUAAAUACAAGGAGAUAUCAACAAUUAAUCUCUCUUGUAAUAGAAAAAACAAGUAGGAAAUACUAUAGGAAGAAACAAUAAUUUUUCACUCUAUUUUUAUCUCUCUACUCACAAUUUUCACUCUACUCAAUCUUUUCUUUUCUCUCAAUUUUUUUCUCUCCAACACGGCUUAUUUCACUUGGCAUGUUAGUUCUCUAUUCAUAGAGAAAUUUGGCUUCAAACUGUCUCACUUUGUUUCGCUCAAAACCUGCCAUCAAGGUGCAUAUGAAAGAGGAGAGUAGGAUGUAUAUGAGAACCUCGUUAGACAAUUAAUAGCCUUGCAUGUGGGAGACUUGUUCAUGAAGAAAGUGGCUGGACCAAAGCUCAAAAAUUCCACUGCCUAUGUAUUAAAUGCUUGCAUGAAUUUUAUCAUUUUGUAGUCAACAUUUGUGGCUUUAAUUUUCAACACAUUCACUGUUGUCAACUGGUUUUUCUACUAUUCAUCAAUAAACAUCUCACUAUUGUCCUCUUGCAUGUCUCUUCUCAACCCACUUUCUUCCUCUUUCGCUUCUUUUUCUCUUUCGCUUCUUUUCCCACCAUCUUCAAAUUUUUCCCAGAAUUCCUUCGUAGAAAAUAAUCAUAGCUCUCUUUUUUUCAAUUCUCUAACCACGUUUACAUUUUUCCCCGAAUCACAACAAUAUAGGUUCUCGAAAAGGAAAACAAUUAAAUACAUAAUUCUGUGCUUUCCGUAACUGAAUCCAUUUCCUUUUCGAUAAUGGAAGAAUAAAAUUAUGUUGCCGGUCUCAGACGAUGUGCCGGAGCGGAGGUUGUGAGAACAUCGGAGGCUACGGUGAUGAUGUUGGUUUCCUGCUCUUUUUCGUCUGCAUUUUUCACUUUAGUUUGUAAAAGGUCUCGGGUAUACUUGUUUAUGUAUAUUUUCUAUAACAUAUUUUAUACAUAAUUUUUUUUAUAUUAUGUGUAAAAAGAAGUUUUAAGAACAUGGUUUUUACACUUUAUAUAUUUUUAUAUUUUUUUAUAUUAUGUGUCGAGGAAAUUUCUGCACAAAAAUAGUUAUGGAAAAGUGUAAAGCAAAAACCAAUCUUACUUGCAGGAUGAAUUUUCCACGGAAUAUGAACAAAAACUGAAGGAUGUCAAGGAAUUAUUGAAAUCAGAGGAAUUAGAAAAUCAAAUAGAAAGCCUAAUGUUGGUGGAUGCUAUCUAGCGUCUAAGUGUUGACUACCAUUUUCAGGAAGAGAUUGAAUCAGUUCUUCGGUGACAUUAUAAGGAAGCCACUUCUUUUGAUGGAUACACUCUUCAUGAUCUUUCACUUUUCUUCAGACUCUUGAGAGAACAUGAUUUUUACAUUCCCGCAGGUUGAGCUUUUUCCCCCUCUUUGUUUGGUGCUUGUUUUUGUUAAUUACCCAUGACUAG